rnacentral:rRNA from 1 species
AUGAGCAGGCGGGUGCCCGGGAAGGAGGAGGCCAGAAACGCGACCGUGGAUCUGGUAGCUUUCAACUGCCCCAGAUGCUCGCAACCCCUCAAGCCUCCAGUCUACCAGGACACGGCAGGGAGGCUACUGUGCUCUUGUUGCUACGACAAGGUUCCCAAGACGCCACAGCUGGGUCCGUCGCCGCGGUACAGUCGCUGCCUGACGGUGGAGCGCAUGCUGGAGUCCGUCCGGGUCCCGUGCUCCAACGCCUCCAGCGGCUGCGCCGCCAUGACGCCGUACCACCGGUGGGCCGAUCACGAGAGCAGCUGCCCCCACUCAUCCCAGCCCCUGCCCGGAGGCGUGUUCGGAGCGGCGAAGAUCCGAAUGCCCUAUCGUUAUCCUACUCGCUAA